rnacentral:rRNA from 1 species
UGCGUAGGCGGGCUAUUAAGUCAGUGGUGAAAUCUCUCGGCUCAACCGAGAAACUGCCAUUGAAACUGAUAGUCUUGAGUAUGGUUGUGGUAGGCGGAAUAUAGCAUGUAGCGGUGAAAUGCUUAGAUAUGCUAUAGAACACCGAUCGCGAAGGCAGCUUACCAAGCCAUUACUGACGCUCAUGCACGAAAGCGUGGGGAGCAAACAGGAUUAGAUACCCUGGUAGUC